AUAAGUAGAGCAAAUGAACUGUAAAGACAUUUUGGUUGAGUUUUUACUUUAUACUGUUUGGUACUUUGGUUUAAUAUGCAGCUGAUUUGCUAUAAAUGGGAGAAAAUGAUGGAUUAAUUUCAUGAUUUUGUUCUUCUGCAUUUGCAGGGGUCCAUUCAGAUGCAAUUGUCAUGAUCGAAACAGAAAGAGGAAGACUCUGAGAAAUACAAAGAUAAGUUGCCAGAUUGAUGCAGAGACAAUGAGUUUGGGUACAAGUACAAUGGCCAGCAGUGACUAAGUGAGUUCUUAUCUUUGAUAUUUCUCUCCUUCAUGAUUGAUAUAACUUUUAGUUAUCUUUUGAACUUCUCGGAGAAGAAGAAGAAGAGAGAGAUGGAAGGAAACAAGAGGCAGAGAAGAGAGAGGUUCCGGAUGCAACUAGUGACCAUGAAAUUCGGAGGGAGUCUGUAGGAGAAGAAGGGAAUCCAGAUUCAAGCAGUGAUAGAGCAAUAGACUGAGUUUCAAUAUGUUAUUGCAUAUUUUUGUUAAGUGUUACUCUUGGUUGUCUUCAUUAGGUACUUGGUUUUGGGCAUAACUUAAUUUGUACUUCUUCUAAUUACCUAUA